UCCGAUAUGGUGUAGUGGCCAACAUGAUGCCCUCUCACCCUCAAUGAGAGGUUAGGCAUAGCCCCGAGUUCGAUUCUCGGUUUCGGAA
rnacentral:tRNA from 1 species